AUUUAUCAUACUAAGGGUCUGUUUCACAAUGUAUGGAUAAAGUACCAAAUAGCUAUGCAACACAUAAAUUAUUUGGAAGAUAAAAGUUCCGAAUAAGAAACUUUGCGUUUCACAAUCAUAUUUUAUCCGGCACAUAACUAUCCGACACAUAAAGAAGAUUGUGGUAGCAACACCAAAUUCGUAUGUUCCGUUUUUUUGUUACGAACAAAUAAAGUUACAAAAUUCUAUAGAAAAACAUAGAACCUUAACCUUUUUGUUGGUCAUUUAAUAUUACUUGUAAUGAAACGGGCUGUCAUUUUCACAUGGUAUUUUUGUUUGUUAGGUUAUUGAGUAUUUUAGUACAUAUUUUAGUUCGGUGCCUUCGGCUUGACCUUUCCGUUGUUUUUGUGAUUCGAGGUGGAUUCUUUAACUUAAAAAAAUGUCUACGCAAAAACGUGAAAGAAGCGUCAAUUUCAGCCAGGAAGAAGUUGAGCUUCUAACUUCGCUUGUUGCUGAUCAUAAAAAUAUAUUAGAAAAUAAAAAAAGUGACUCAGUCACCUGGCAGGAGAAAGAGCAGUGCUGGAAGACGUUAGAGGCGCUGUUUAAUAGCACAAGUGUGGAAAACUUUCGCAGCGCUAAAACUUUAAAAGCUAAAUACGAAGGCUUAAAGAGGGCUACAAGAAAAAAGUCUGCCUUGAUACAUGCUGAAACGUAACGUAAAGGAGGUGGCCCUAGUGCUGCUACUCCUCUUACCCCUAUCGAGGAAAAAGUCAAAGACAUGAUAUUGUUGUCUGUCGAAGGAAUUGAAAGUCAAUUUGACUCCGAUCGCAUUGAAAGAGAAUCUAUCCAUUCAGUUGAGGCAGACGUUUGUACACAGAAGGAAGAUUCUAAUUGAGUUGUUGGUAAGUUAGUCGGACUUUACCUUUUAUGUUUCACUUCAGGUGAAUGUGGUAGUGCUACCCCAAAAAAAUUGGCAAUUGAAAAGUGGACCAACUGGAAGCCAAAUUCUCUACGUUCCAAAAAACAUCCCGCUUUAUCUACUCCGAAGAUGAAAAGGCCAUUCGAAAAAGUUGCUGAUUCAAAAUUAGAGAUUGCGGAUCUGCAAAAGAAGAUUCUGGAGGUAGAGCUUCUAAAUAAGAGAAAGCAAUGGGCAUUUGAAGAGGAAGAAAGAGAGCAGA